CCUACGGGGGGCUGCAGUGGGGAAUAUUGGACAAUGGGCGAAAGCCUGAUCCAGCCAUGCCGCGUGUGUGAAGAAGGCCUUCGGGUUGUAAAGCACUUUCAGUGGGGAAGAAAGCCUUGGGGCUAAUACCCUCGAGGAAGGACAUCACCCACAGAAGAAGCACCGGCUAACUCCGUGCCAGCAGCCGCGGUAAUACGGAGGGUGCGAGCGUUAAUCGGAAUUACUGGGCGUAAAGCGCGCGUAGGCGGUCUGAUAAGCCGGUUGUGAAAGCCCCGGGCUCAACCUGGAACGGCAUCCGGAACUGUCAGGCUAGAGUGCAGGAGAGGAAGGUAGAAUUCCCGGUGUAGCGGUGAAAUGCGUAGAGAUCGGGAGGAAUACCAGUGGCGAAGGCGGCCUUCUGGACUGACACUGACGCUGAGGUGCGAAAGCGUGGGUAGCAAACAGGAUUAGAUACCCUAGUAGUC
rnacentral:rRNA from 1 species